AACGAACGCUGGCGGCAGGCCUAACACAUGCAAGUCGAACGGGCACCUUCGGGUGUCAGUGGCAGACGGGUGAGUAACGCGUGGGAACCUACCUAGUGGUACGGAAUAACUCGGGGAAACCCGAGCUAAUACCGUAUACGCCCCGAGGGGAAAGGAUUUAUCGCAUUUGGAUAGCCCGCGUCGGAUUCAGCUAGUUGGUGAGGUAAUGGCUCACCAAGGCGACGAUCCGUAGCUGGUCUGAGAGGAUGAUCAGCCACACUGGGACUGAGACACGGCCCAGACUCCUACGGGAGGCAGCAGUGGGGAAUAUUGGACAAUGGGCGAAGCCUGAUCCAGCCAUGCCGCGUGAGUGAAGAAGGCCUUAGGGUUGUAAAGCUCUUUCGGCGGGGACGAUAAUGACGGUACCCGCAGAAGAAGCCCCGGGCUAACUCCGUGCCAGCAGCCGCGGUAAUACGGAGGGGGCCUAGCGUUGUUCGGAAUUACUGGGCGUAAAGCGCACGUAGGCGGACUGCUAAGUCGGGGGCUGAAAUCCUGAGGCUCAACCUCAGAAUUGCCUUCGUACUGGCGGUCUCGAGUGCGGGAGAGGUGAGUGGAAUUCCCAGUGUAGAGGGUGAAAUUCGUAGAUAUUGGGAAGAACCCAGUGGCGAAGGCGGCUCACUGGCCCGCAACUAACGCUGAGGUGCGAAAGCGUGGGGAGCAAAC
rnacentral:rRNA from 1 species